GACGAACGCUGGCGGCGUGCUUAACACAUGCGAGUCGAACGGUGAAGCUCCAGCUUGCUGGAGUGGAUCAGUGGCGAACGGGUGAGUAACACGUGAGCAACCUGCCCCUGACUCUGGAAUAAGCGCUGGAAACGGCGUCUAAUACUGGAUACGAGAAGGGUCCGCAUGGGCACUUUCUGGAAAGUUUUUCGGUUGGGGAUGGGCUCGCGGCCUAUCAGCUUGUUGGUGAGGUAAUGGCUCACCAAGGCGACGACGGGUAGCCGGCCUGAGAGGGCGACCGGCCACACUGGGACUGAGACACGGCCCAGACUCCUACGGGAGGCAGCAGUGGGGAAUAUUGCACAAUGGGCGAAAGCCUGAUGCAGCGACGCCGCGUGAGGGAUGACGGCCUUCGGGUUGUAAACCUCUUUCAGCAGGGAAGAAGCGAAAGUGACGGUACCUGCAGAAGAAGCACCGGCUAACUACGUG
rnacentral:rRNA from 1 species